rnacentral:snoRNA from 1 species
GCUGCCCUAGCAGUGUUGCAGGUGUGGUUGCUAUGUCACAAGUGUAUCAGAAGAUGACACAGAGAGAGGCUAUGCCUAUAUUUAGUGUUCAGACCUGUGAAUAUCUCAAUGAUUAGUAGUCUACUAUU